rnacentral:miRNA from 1 species
UGGCAGAGGUGAGUGAGCACUUCCAGCACUUUAUCUGUUUCUUGAAACAUCUCUGCUUCUGGAGCCUUGGUUUUCUCCAAUUCCUUCAGCAC